GAUGAACGCUGGCGGCGUGCUUAACACAUGCAAGUCGAACGGGGAUUAUUUCAUUGAAGCUUCGGCAGAUUUGAUUUAAUCCUAGUGGCGGACGGGUGGGUAACGCGUGGGUAACCUGCCUUAUACAGGGGGAUAACAGUCAGAAAUGGCUGCUAAUACCGCAUAAGCGCACAGGGCCGCAUGGCCCGGUGUGAGAAACUGAGGUGGUAUAAGAUGGACCCGCGUUGGAUUAGCCAGUUGGCAGGGUAACGGCCUACCAAAGCGACGAUCCAUAGCCGGCCUGAGAGGGUGAACGGCCACAUUGGGACUGAGACACGGCCCAGACUCCUACGGGAGGCAGCAGUGGGGAAUAUUGCACAAUGGGGGAAACCCUGAUGCAGCGACGCCGCGUGAAGGAAGAAGUAUCUCGGUAUGUAAACUUCUAUCAGCAGGGAAGAAAAUGACGGUACCUGACUAAGAAGCCCCGGCUAACUACGUGCCAGCAGCCGCCGUAAUAC
rnacentral:rRNA from 1 species